CCAUUCUAAGAAUCGCACCUAGAGAGUUUCCAGUACUCUACGAGUCUCGACUCUGGGAGGGGGAGUCAAGCAGAGGCCUAUCCAUUCCAUUCCUAGCUUGGCCAGUGGCUAGCGAGUGGAAGGUGAUCUGCUACAAGU